GACGAACGCUGGCGGCGCGCUUAACACAUGCAAGUCGAGCGAGAACCGGCCUUCGGGCCGGGGAAAGCGGCGAACGGGUGAGUAACACGUGGGUAAUCUGCCCUCGGCACCGGGAUAGCCCGGGGAAACCCGGAUUAAUACCGGAUGGCCCUUUGAGUCCUCGGAUUCAAAGGAAAAGGUAGCUUCGGCCUCCGGCCGAGGAUGAGCCCGCGGCGGAUUAGCUUGUUGGUGGGGUAACGGCCUACCAAGGCGACGAUCCGUAGCUGGUCUGAGAGGACGAUCAGCCACACUGGGACUGAGACACGGCCCAGACUCCUACGGGAGGCAGCAGUGGGGAAUCUUGCGCAAUGGGCGAAAGCCUGACGCAGCGACGCCGCGUGAGGGAAGAAGGCCUUCGGGUUGUAAACCUCUUUCAGGAGGGACGAAGCCACUCGGGUUAAUAGCCCAGAGGGUGACGGUACCUCCAGAAGAAGCCCCGGCUAACUACGUGCCAGCCGCCGCAGUAAAAC
rnacentral:rRNA from 1 species